GAAAGUGUGAUGUUGGCGUCAAUAUCUAUAGUGCUGAUAAGUGAUGUAAGUUCGAUUGAACACGACAUCCCAAAGAGGGUGAAAGGCCCUUGACAUCACUACUUCGGUAUUCUGAUAAUGACGGUUGAGUAGAAUUGCUUGAGACCGCAGUUCGAAGAUGUGUGGCAAACCCCAUACAAGUCUAGAUAUAGUUGCGAGGCCGAUAGCGAACAAGUACCAUGAGGGAAAGUUGAAAAGUACUCUGAAAAGAGAGUUCACAAGUGCGUGAAACUGUACACUGUAAAGCGAAUGAUUGAGCGAUUAGAAUGUCGAUCACUCAAGUGUCAUGUAUGUUUCAAAGGUUUGCUGAAUCUUUGCUUGAAUUGUCAUGUGCAUGAUACUGUACUUGAUUGUGUCUGGAAUUGCUUGGUGGGCUAGCGCUAACAUAGCGAUCUGACGGAAAAGAGUCUCUUUUUGAGUCUCUUAGAGAAGAUUGCUUUUGAACUGUUUUAUGCAGUCGGUAAUGCUUGCCCACUUCUGAAAUAUGCCUGUAACUGUGUACACCGUAUGUGUGCAACUAUCGUAAAGUGAAAUUGUGCAUGUGUUGUCAGUAUGUUAAAAGGUUCGUGAAAAGCAAUUGUCUUUGCUGUGAAUCAUUCGAACCGUCUUGAAACACGGACUAAGGAGUUCAACUCGAACGCAAGUCGUUUUCUGAAACGAAAUUUAAAGGCAAAGUGAAAACAACUCUUGAUGAGAUGUUAACUGAUGCGUACGCGCUGAUGAUAAGCACAAGUGAUGAGUAGCACAGUUGUAAUUGUUGCUGACUGCACCUGAGCGUUCAGGUUGAGACCCGAAAGAUGGUGAACUAUGCCUGAGUAGAAUGAAGCCAGGGGAAACUCUGGUGGAGGUUCGUAGCGGUUUUGACGUGCAAA
rnacentral:rRNA from 1 species